UACGAAGGGUGCAAGCGUUAAUCGGAAUUACUGGGCGUAAAGCGUGCGUAGGCGGUUUCUUAAGUCUGCUGUGAAAGCCCUGGGCUCAACCUGGGGAAUGGCGGUGGAUACUGAGAAGCUGGAGUACGGUAGAGGAAGGUGGAAUUCCCGGUGUAGCGGUGAAAUGCGUAGAGAUCGGGAGGAACAUCAGUGGCGAAGGCGGCCUUUCUGGACCAGUACUGACGCUGAGGCACGAAAGCGUGGGGAGCAAACAGGG
rnacentral:rRNA from 1 species